UCCUCCUUGACGUCGGCGAUUU
rnacentral:misc_RNA from 1 species